CGUUGGGCUUGGUUGGGUUGGCAGGUGACUCACUGGUCCAUUCUGUGGGCUAUGAGUGUUACUAGCCGGCUAUAGUGGAUCUGUACAGUGUGUCGGAGACGGCGGCUUAUGCGCUCUGUCCUUCGGGCGUGGUUGAGUCUGGUCGACUUGUUGCUAGUUUCGGCUGGCCAGUUGAUGGCUUGAUCAUGUUCGGUUGGCAGUAGUGUGUGUUUGGCCAACAGUCUGUGGUGUUGUGGUAGACUAUCCACCUGACCCGUCUUGAAACACGGACCAAGGA
rnacentral:rRNA from 1 species